UCCGUAGGUGAACCCUGCGGGAGGGAUCAUAACCGAGUUUACAACUCCCCAAACCCUUAUGUGAACCGUACCUAUCGUUGCUUCGGCGGGGAACGCCCCCGGCGCCCCUGCGCCCCGGAUCCCAGGCGCCCCGCCGGAGACCCCCAAACUCUUGUGUUUUUUUCAGUAUUCUCUGAGUGGCAAACGCAAAAAUAAAUCAAAACUUUUAACAACGGAUCUCUUGGCUCUGGCAUCGAUGAAGAACGCAGCGGAAUGCGAUAAGUAAUGUGAAUUGCAGAAUUCAGUGAAUCAUCGAAUCUUUGAACGCACAUUGCGCCCGUUAGCAUUCUAGCGGGCAUGCCUGUCCGAGCGUCAUUUCAACCCUCAGGGUCCCCGUUCCGGCGGGGAACCUGGUGUUGGGGAUCGGCCCGCCCCGUGCGGCGCCGUCCCCCAAAUUCAGUGGCGGUCUCGCUGCAGCCUCCCCUGCGUAGUAGUUACAACCUCGCAUCGGAGCUCAGCGCGGCCACGCCGUAAAACCCCCGACUUUCUGAACGUUGACCUCGGAUCAGGUAGGAAUACCCGCUGAACUUAAGCAUAUCAAUAAGCGGAGGA
rnacentral:sRNA from 1 species